UAUUGGUUGAGUUCAGAACUCAUCACUUUUUUGUGGAUCGAUAAUUUUCACUACUGAUAGACAUGAUACAAACUCUCACUGAUGUCGAUCAGCUGCAUAGGUCAUCCAACUUCUACAAAUCGUCCACUCGAAGCCCUGAUCGGAUCUUCCUUCGCAGGAGUGCUUGCUCACAUCGAAGGCUCUGGAUGGCUGAUCCAAGCUCCUUUCUUUGGAUCUUUUGGACUCUUUUAGAUUAGAAGAUGAAGCUUUAUGAGGAAGUGAUGGUGUGGA
rnacentral:lncRNA from 1 species